rnacentral:lncRNA from 1 species
CCCCCUAAGCCUCUUCCAGGCUGAACAGUCUCAGUUCUUUCAGCUUCUCUUCAUGUGACAUUAUCCUCUUCCUUUGUUAUUUUUGUGCCCCUUCACUGCACCUGCUGCAGUAGCUUCCUGUCUCAUACCAGUAAGCCCAGAGCUCCAGAUGUAUUUCACUAGAACUGAGUACAGGAGAGGGAAUUCCUCUGCUGACCUGCUGUCAAUGCCUUGCCUAACGUGACUCUGGAGGUCGCUGACCUCCUCUGCUGUGAAGGCACAGUGUUGGCUUGUGGUCAGCUUUUUGUCCUGCAGAACCCAGAUUCCUUUCUGUAGUGCUUCUCCUCAUCCUGUCAUUAUGUACUGGGGAGUCAUUCCUUGACAGACACAGGACUUUGUAUUUCUUGUUGAAUAUCACAUGAUUCUUUUCAGCCUAAUACUGCAGCCAAUCCAGCUCCCUUUGAAUGGCAGCACACUCAACUAUUGCCUCAGCAGCAAUGUUGUACCAUCUACAAACUUGAUGAGAGUGCACUUUGUCCAGACGUUCAGGUCAUUAAUGAAGAUAGACAAUGUUGGCCCUGAUGUUGUCCCCUGGCAUACUUGUUGUGGUUUCAAGAUUUCUGCUAUUGAUAUUCCACAUCAUAGCAUCAGGUAAUGCACAGGGAGUUAAAGAGUUGAGGCUUCAGUUCCAUGGACUGUUGAUAGUUCCAGGUACAUUUCACAGAAGAGAAAGAAUGAACUGUAUCUCCCAGAAUACUUCACUGUUCCAUUUCCAUUUUCUGUUUAAAGGAAAAGAGAAAACUGGGAGUCAUGAGACUUCUUUUUCUGCUUGGCUCUGCAGUGUAUGCUCCCUAGCUGUCUCACCUUCAACAUUAGAAUAUAAUUGUUAGGUGAGAAGAUGAAAAAUUCACUGUAUUCUGCAGUGAAGAAAGACAGUUUUCUUUGUAUGAAUGGCAGAACAGCCCCAUGGCAAGACUUGUAGGGUGAGUUAAUACCUUUUUCUGGACUAACUGAAAAAAAUAGAGAAGACAUGAAAGCAGCUUUCAGUUCUGAAAUGGGGGAUGUAUGGAGAAUAAUUAGUAUUGACCUCCAAAGGUAAAUCCAGACUGAGAACAGUUGUAAUGACUGCAACUGCACAAUGUUGCUCAGUUAAGGAAAAAUUAAAUGUAAUGCAGUGGAGAAAAGGAGAAAGAAAUGAAGAGUUUAGUGUUCAGAUCACAUACACUGAGCCAAAAAUUUGCAUAUAUCACAUGUGAGAUGCCUCUGCUAAGUGAAAAAGCAUCAUUGAUUUUACCCCUACAGACUAAAGCACCAUGAAUUUCUACCAACCACUGUAAGUAUGCUUGCUUCAUCACAUUUUUUCCACUCUCUGUCAAGACCAGUGGGGUGAGAAUCCUCCACAAGGGAAACAGUGGGGCAAAAGUACUAAGAGAAUCUGCUGGGAAAAGGUGAAAAGGAGUUGGGGGGUGUUGUCUGUAAGAGUGGAUGUGAUGAUGCCCCAAAUUGCAGGUGUAUUUAGGAUGUUGGCAGCAGUAUUUUCUUUGUGUAACUCUGCUUCAUGG